UUUCUUUUUCUCUUGAACACUGUCAAACAAGUUUUCAUUUUGUUGGUUUCAACUUGGGUUAAUUUGCAUGUGAGGGAUAUUUUAACUAAUAAUGUGCAAUUUUAUCAUUGCAGGUUCUCCUCCACACAGACACCAUGGUCACCAUAGAUCACCACCUCAUGGUAGUAGCAACUGUGGUACACCUCCUUCACACGGUGGUGGUGGAAGCUAUGACCCUACUCCAAGUACACCCUCAACACCAACCUACACCCCAACACCUACUACACCUUCAACACCCACAUACACCCCAACUCCUACUACACCUUCAACACCCACAUACACCCCAACUCCCACUACUCCUGAUAUUCUAACUCCUCCAUCUAUUGAUCCAAACACUCCAACCACUCCAACCUUUCCUGGAAUUUUCACACCACCUUCUUCUUCAUUUCCUCCAUUGUUGCCUGACCCCAACUCACCUACUCCACUCUUCCCUGGUACUUGCACGUAAGUCGCUACCUUCACAUAUUUUUCAUGGUUAAGUUGGUUGUAUUUUUUUGUUCUGAAGUUCUUCAUGUGUUUGAUUAUUAUGAAUUAACAGCAUUUAUGUUAAUCUUUUGUAGUUAC
rnacentral:lncRNA from 1 species